GUGCUCGCUUUAGCAGCACUUAUACUAAAAUUGGAACUAUAUAGAGACCAGCUUGGUCCCUGCGCAAGGACAAUGAGUAAAAGAUCCCCAAGUGAUU
rfam:Ailuropoda melanoleuca scaffold2306_6, whole genome shotgun sequence.